CCUACGGGUGGCAGCAGUAGGGAAUAUUGCUCAAUGGGGGAAACCCUGAAGCAGCAACGCCGCGUGGAGGAUGAAGGUUUUCGGAUUGUAAACUCCUUUUGUUAGAGAAGAUAAUGACGGUAUCUAGCGAAUAAGCACCGGCUAAAUCCGUGCCAGCAGCCGAGGUAAUACGGAGGGUGCAAGUAUUACCCGGAAUCGCUGGCGUAAAGCGCACGUAGGGGGGAUAGCAAGUCCGAUGUGAAACCCUAGGGUCUAACCAUAGAACUGCAUUUGAAACUGGUAUUCUAGAGUUUGGGAGAGGUAGGUGGAAUUCGUGGUGUAGGGGUAAAAUCCGUAGAGAUCAAGAGGAAUACUCAUUGCGAAGGCGACCUGCUAGAACAUAACUGACGCUGAUGCGCGAAAGCGUGGGGAGCAAACAGGAUUAGAUACCCCUGUAGUC
rnacentral:rRNA from 1 species